GAGCCAGGAGGAACUUCUCCUUCAAAACCCUAACAUACUAAAUUCAAUCAAAUUGAGGGUGAAAUCAAGGAUUAAUCGAAGGCAUGAGCAUGGAACUUUGAUUAUCUAAGUAUUCUUGACAUCUAGAACAAAGAAGGAAGGAGGAGCAAGUCAUUCUAAAGCUCAAGAAACGCAAGAUCGCGGUAAAUCCCAUGCUUGAUUGCGGCGCACUCGGGCCGAACACACAAUGUCGACUUUUUAUACGCUUCCGGUUCAAGUUGUCUAUUAUGUAUGGGUCAAAAAUUUCAUUUUGUGAUAUGAUGUAAAUCUUGUGUCUAGUAUGUUAGUAAGUUGUUUAGAUUU